UCGAGCGAACAGAUAAGGAGCUUGCUCCUUUGACGUUAGCGGCGGACGGGUGAGUAACACGUGGGUAACCUACCUAUAAGACUGGAAUAACUCCGGGAAACCGGGGCUAAUGCCGGAUAACAUAUAGAACCGCAUGGUUCUAUAGUGAAAGAUGGUUUUGCUAUCACUUAUAGAUGGACCCGCGCCGUAUUAGCUAGUUGGUAAGGUAAUGGCUUACCAAGGCGACGAUACGUAGCCCGACCUGAGAGGGUGAUCGGCCACACUGGAACUGAGACACGGUCCAGACUCC
rnacentral:rRNA from 1 species